AAAUAAAUUAUUUUGGGUUAUCUGGGUUGCUCGGGUUGGCCCUUAAAAUUCUCAAGUCAAUUCAGGUUUAGUGAUGAAGGUGGUGUUUGACCCUAUUUUCCAAGCAGAUAAAAGCCAGGUAAAAUUGUUGACUCAAGGCACAACUGAAUGACAAGAAUUUUUUAAGAAAAUGGAAAUAUUACUCUGACCACCAAAUAAAAUGUGAAUUUACUUUCCAUGCUACUUAAUA
rnacentral:misc_RNA from 1 species